rnacentral:rRNA from 1 species
AUGAUAUGUGCUGACAGCUACCAAGCUAGUAUUUUUGGUUAUUUUCACUUUAUUGUACUCCUCCGUUCAUCUUUGUAUGCAUGCGGCCCAAUAAUUCUUCUCACCCUACUUUGUAAAACUGGACAACAGAAAGUAAACACGAACAACCAACAAAUUAAGCUACAAUUUAGCCCGUUUCCCUCUCCUUCUUUAUUUUUUCUUUUCUAUUCCUUUUUCAUUUUUUGUUUCUUUUUUUCUCUUUUACAUUUUCGCUUCUCAUUUCUUUUUUUUUUCAAUUUUAUUUUCUUUCUCAAUUUUUUUUCUAAAUUUUCAAAAAAUGCCCGUGCUCAUAAAAAUGUGUAA